rnacentral:rRNA from 1 species
GACGAACGCUGGCGGCGUGCUUAACACAUGCAAGUCGAGCGGAAAGGCCCCUUCGGGGGUACUCGAGCGGCGAACGGGUGAGUAACACGUGAGUAAUCUGCCCUUCACUUUGGGAUAACCCCCGGAAACGGGAGCUAAUACCGGAUACGACCAUCGUGGGCAUCCACUGGUGGUGGAAACUUUUUUGGGUGGGGGAUGUGCUCGCGGCCUAUCAGCUUGUUGGUGGGGUAAUGGCCUACCAAGGCUUUGACGGGUAGCCGGCCUGAGAGGGUGACCGGCCACACUGGGACGGAGACACGGCCCAGACUCCUACGGGAGGCAGCAGUGGGGAAUAUUGGACAAUGGGCGGGAGCCUGAUCCAGCAACGCCGCGUGAGGGAUGACGGCCUUCGGGUUGUAAACCUCUUUCAGCACCGACGAAGCGUGAGUGACGGUAGGUGCAGAAGAAGGACCGGCCAACUACGUGCCAGCAGCCGCGGUAACAC